rnacentral:rRNA from 1 species
GACAGAGGGUGCAAACGUUGUUCGGAAUUACUGGGCGUAAAGCGCGUGUAGGCGGCAUGACAAGUCGGGUGUGAAAGCCCUGGGCCCAACCCAGGAAGUGCACUCGAUACUGUCGUGCUAGAGUCCCGGAGAGGGUGGUGGAACUCUCGGUGUAGAGGUGAAAUUCGUAGAUAUCGAGAAGAACACCGGUGGCGAAGGCGGCCACCUGGACGGUGACUGACGCUGAGACGCGAAAGCGUGGGGAGCAAACAGG